UAAAGCAUUUCCAGUAGAACUCAGGCAGGCCAGAUGUUCUGGAAGCAGAACCACGGUCAUUAUGCACAUGCCAGCUCCUCCUCACUCCACCCCGGGCCAAGACCCUUUCAGCAGCGCGAGGCCUGCUUAACAUAUGACUCUGGCUGCAUUACUGCGUGGCAUCCCAGCACCCAUUCGAACAUUUCAGCAAUUUUAAACAAGCUCCAUUGACAGGGACUAUUAAACGGAAGCCAAAGAAGCACGCCGGGAGAGCACAUUAAUUAUGAGAUUUGCGCUCCAAGCCCUGAAACAGUUAAUUCCCUGCUCUGCUCUGUGCCAACGGAAAUGGAUGUCGCUGCUUACCUUGUAGAGCUUCAGGGCCGCCUCGUGCCUGUGAUUGGUGCUUGAUGAGAUUUGGCUAAUACUGCCCCUGCGUGCCUGUAAUCUACUGCCAAAUACCUGGGAUAAGGUAACGGUAUUACGGUUGUCAUCUGUGGAGCUGUUUUCCCUGUCAGGCUCCAUCCCUGCAACUUUCUCUGGCACCUCAUUAUCAAGUUGUGUCGUUCCACAUAGCUUUGAUGUGCUCUGCCCAUUUUCCUGCCUGGAGAUAGGAGGGGAGUCACACGUUUCCAUGGCAAUUGCUACAUGGGGAUCUCAUUUCAUCCAGCCUGUCAGGGACCUGGAUAAAAAAUAAGGCAGCAUCUCAGACCAUAAAUUCCCUUUGUUGAGAACAGGAUGCACUCUGUAAGGUCAUAUCAGUUUCUGGCAGCAGGUUACCAAGUGUGCACAAACAAUGUAUACAUACUGAAGGCAGCCAAAAUGCCUAAAAUAUAAUCCCCUGCUAGACUGAAGGAAAUGAGGAAGUCAGGAAGAGACUAGAGAGUUGGAGUAGAAGCAGAGUGCACGAGGGAAAAUGCUUCUGCAAGAAGGAAUUAAUGAAGAGAGCUGCAAAAGAAUGUGUGACGACCUCUUCUGACACGGCAAAAACUUUCCACCCAUGUCACGACAAAGGGGAGAAGAAAAAGACCCAGAAAUGCAUUAAACGUCUAAAAGCCCUCCAAACCAAAACAACCCAUGAUGAUGGAGUGGUAGAGGUGUAGGACGGUCCUCCUAGAUGUCAUCUAGGACAAGCAAACAUGAGGAAUGAUCAGUCACCUAAAUACAUGAUGCUGGUGUGUGAACUCCUGACCUGAAUGACUAAAACACCUACUCGGGACUUGUCUUGGACCAUCAGGGCAUUAUGACACAUUAACCAAGUCAAGCUGCCCAAUUCUUAAAUGUUGUUUGUUUAUUUUUUCAAUCUCCAGAAUGUUAAAGUGGCUAAUUAUAUCAGAGAUAAGUUGCUUGCCAAAUAGGACUUCAGUGUCAGCCGUUUUUAAGUUGUGUGCAUACAUUCAAAAAUAGCUCAAAAUGGCAAAUAUUUUAUUUCAGUCACAAACCUUUAAGAGAGUAGGGGAGUGGAGAGCAGCCAUUCCUGGACUGAGGAUUGUAUGUCAAACGUGAAACCAUAUCAAACUUUCAAGGCAACUUGUGAACCUCUGAAACUAGGGAAUUAACAGAACAUCAAAUCCAGCAAGAUCACAGGGGCACAAUCCUUAUGCAAGAAAAUAAUGCCAUUGAGCCCUCAUUAAAAGACCAUUUCGUCCUUAGCCAUCAAAGACUGUGAGUGCACUAAGAUCUUGGUUAUAUCAUCAGGGAUAACGAAAACAAGUGCCAAGAGAAAUUGUGCACUUUUAGUUCUCACAUGUGUCCAUCUGUUCACAUAUAAACAUAUAUUCUGCUUUCUGUCUGAUUCCUAAAAUCUUGAUAUCAGAAUACCCUGGGCUUUUGCCCAUUUCCUAAGAAUGCAGACAUCACAUAAGCUACUAUUAACCCAUGUGUGAUCCACUUCCAUGGUGGCUGGAAAGCUGCCAGUUACAACACAUGGUGCUUGGUUAACAAUGUCUUAAAAUAUAAAUGAAUUUAUUUUUUAAAUUAACACAUUUUUCUUAUGGAAAUACCUUAAUAAGCCCUUCUGCAUGUAAAAUAGCCUCCAUGUGGAUUUUUUUUGUUCUUUUAAGACUUUUUGCAAGCAUAUCAUAAAGUUAACCAU